rnacentral:rRNA from 1 species
CCCUUAGAUGUUCUGGGCCGCACGCGCGCUACACUGAUGCAUUCAACGAGCCUAUCCUUGACCGACAGGUCCGGGUAAUCUUUGAAUCUGCAUCGUGACGGGGAUAGAUUAUUGCAAUUAUUAAUCUUCAACGAGGAAUGCCUAGUAGGCGCAAGUCAUCAGCUUGCGUCGAUUACGUCCCUGCCCUUUGUACACACCGCCCGUCGCUCCUACCGAUUGGGUGUGCUGGUGAAAUGUUCGGAUCGGCCGUUUGUCGCGGUUUCCGCGGCUCGUGGCUGAGAAGUUCAUUAAACCCUCCCAUCUAGAGGAAGGAGAGGUCGUAACA